CCUAGAGUUGUAGGCUUUGCCUGCUAUCACUUACCCAUGUCUUUUGAGUACCUUCGUUUCCUCGGCGGGUCCGCCCGCCGAUUGGACAAUUUAAACCAUUUGCGGUUGCAAUCAGCGUCUGAAAAAACUUAAUAGUUA
rnacentral:misc_RNA from 1 species